rnacentral:lncRNA from 1 species
GAGAUUAUGGCAACAAAACAGCUGGGGAGAGUUCAGUAAUAUAUAAUCACGUCUCUACUAUCAAAAUAAAACAAGUUCUCUCUUGAAAGGGGAUUUUCCUGUCUAAAGACCUGAGAACAGUUGUCUAGAAUUGGAGAAUCCUCUUUCCUGGACAGUGCUGGAGAUAGAAAAAUGGAGCCCUCUCCCCCUCCCUCUCUUCCAUUCCUUAUCAAUGGAGAAACUAUAGGCCAGAGAGAUUAACUAUCUGGUCCCAGGGUCACAAAGAACUGGAGCUUGAGUGCAGUUCUGCUGAUGCCAAAUCCAGCAUCCUUUUGACUAUCAUAUAGCUCUCUCCAUUAGAAGU